rnacentral:pre_miRNA from 1 species
AACGUACUCCCUCCGUUCCGAAUUACUUGUCUUGGAUUUGUCUAGAUACGGAUGUAUCUAGACUCAUUUUAGUGCUAGAUACCUCCGUAUCUAGACAAAUCUAAGACAUGUAAUUCGGAACGGAGGGAGUAGCUA